ACAGAGGGUGCGAGCGUUAAUCGGAAUUACUGGGCGUAAAGCGCACGUAGGCGGCUUGGUAAGUUGGAUGUGAAAUCCCCGGGCUUAACUUGGGAAUUGCAUUCAAGACUGCCUUGCUCGAGUGUGGGAGAGGGAAGCGGAAUUCCAGGUGUAGCGGUGAAAUGCGUAGAUAUCUGGAGGAACAUCAGUGGCGAAGGCGGCUUUCUGGCCCAACACUGACGCUGAGGUGCGAAAGCGUGGGGAGCAAACAGGA
rnacentral:rRNA from 1 species